AUGGCUCCUCAUGCUCUCCUGUCUCCGGAGUCCCGCAGCCGCGCUGCCAUCCUGCCACUGCUACGCAUACUAGAAGAUCAUGGCGCUGAGGCGCGGAAGAGCCGGCCGGCGGCGACCGCCUCCAAGGCCGGCAGGAAGAAGAAGGUGCUGGUGCUGACCGCGGUGGUGUCCGUCGUGCUCAUGUUUGCCCUCCUCAAGACCAGAACCCUCGACGGCCGGGUAUUACUCCGUCAUCGUCCAGCUACUGUGAUUAGUGUUCCACGGCCCCCCUACGCCGCGCACCGGCGCGUCCAGUGGGACAGCGUCACUGCCUCCCUGGUGGCGGCGCAGGCGGGGUCGGUGGCGCUGCUCAACUUCAGCCCGGCGGAGGUGAAGCGGUGGAGGAAGCUGCAGCCACUCCACACGACAGUCCGAGCGGUGCGGUUGCAGCCCGUGGACAGCGCCGUCACCUGGGCCGCCCUCUACCCGGAGUGGAUCGACGAGGACGGUAACGGCACCAACAGCGGCAGCUGCCCCUCACUCCCAGACCCCGAGGAUCAAGGAGGCCAGCGCUUCGACCUCGUCGCCGUCAACCUCCCCUGCCGCAGCCGUAACGAUAGCGGCCGCUGGUCCAGGGACGUGGCCAGGCUCCAUCUCCAGCUCUCCGCCGCCAAGCUCGCCGUCUCCGUCCAGUCGUCGCAUGUCCUCGUCGUCUCUGAUUGCCUCCCACUCCCCAACCUCUUCCCAUGCAAGCACCUCUUCCACCAACACGGCCACGCCCGGCUCUACAGGGCUCACGCCGCCUACCUCCGCCCCCGCACCCGCCUCCCCGUCGGCUCAUGCGACCUCGCUCUACGUCUUCCGACGAUUCCUAUGAAGCCGCUUACGGUGCUCAGGCGGCGGCGGGAGGCGUACGCGACGGUGCUGCACUCGUCGGACGCCUACGUGUGCGGCGCCAUCGCGGUGGCGCAGAGCAUCCGUCAGUCGGGCUCCACCAGGGACCUGGUGGCGCUGGUGGACUACGGCAGCGUCGGCGCCGAGCAGCGCGCCGGCCUGGCUGCGGCCGGGUGGCAGGUGCGCACCAUGGACGGCCGCAUCCGCAACCCGCGCGCCGUGCCCGGCACGUACAACGAGUGGAACUACAGCAAGCUCCGCCUGUGGCAGCAGCUCACCGACUACCGCAGGGUCGUGUUCGUGGACGCCGACCAGCUCGUGCUGCGAAACAUCGACUUCCUCUUCGACGCCCCGGAGGUGAGCGCCACCGGGAACAGCCGGACGCUCUUCAACUCCGGCGUCAUGGUGCUGGAGCCCUGCAACUGCACGUUCGACAUGCUCAUGGCGCGCGUCCGCGACGUCCGGUCGUACAACGGCGGCGAUCAGGGGUUCCUCAACGAGGUCUUCACGUGGUGGCACCGCCUGCCGCGCACCGUCAACGUCCUAAAGUACUACCACCAACAGGGCCAUGCUGCUGCUGCUGCCUCGGCGCCGCCGUCGCCGGAGCCGUACCUGCUGCACUACCUGGGCAUCAAGCCGUGGCUGUGCUUCCGCGACUACGACUGCAACUGGAACGUGCCGUCGCUGCGCCAGUUCGCCAACGACGAGGCGCACGCGCGGUGGUGGGCCGUGCACGACAGGAUCAAGCCGGGGGAGCUCGCCGCUAGGUUCUGCGCGUUGCCGAAGAGUCAGAGGUCGUCGCUGCAGUAUGAGCGGAGGCAGGCGGAGAAGGCCAACGCCACCGACAUGCACUGGAGCCGUCCGAUCACUGACCCAAGGAACACCCAACAACUCUUGUUGCCAAUGCCACCCACCGCAUGA
rnacentral:rRNA from 1 species